GGAGAGGUGCCGGAGCUGGCUUAACGGGGCGGUCUCGAAAACCGUUGUUCGCUCACGCGGACCGGGGGUUCGAAUCCCCCCCUCUCCG
rnacentral:tRNA from 1 species